CAGCAGGCCUCUCCCACAUACAAGCCUCAGAAACAUAGUCCACACACAAGAGCUACAGCAGCAAGAAACCCAACUGUUGCAAACCAAACUCCAGGCAGCUCUGGGACAAGCAGUUUUUCACCAUGCAGAAAAGCAGGUGAUGCUGCACAAAAGAAGUAACGGAUCUAGAAAGCAGAUCUAAGAAGAUGGGGGCAGGAGAGAGAUCGGCAGGCCCUUCUGCACACAAAGCAAACUUUCCUGAGAAUUACCUGUACAGAACAAAGGACCUCAGAACCCAGGGAUUACAGCAACAGCAGUAGUAUUUGCAGUCAGUGCCAGUGGCGAUGUGCAGGGAGGUAAAUAUCUGACAGGGGUUGGGGACAGGGGCUUCUGUGUCAAAAUUU